AAGUCGUAACAAGGUUUCCGUAGGUGAACCUGCGGAAGGAUCAUUACCAAAAGAUAAUCUUUCUUCGAAAGAUCUUUUCCAUUGUGCUGGCUUUGACCGUUUGUACUUUUGGGACUUAAACAUGGCUUCUUGUAAGUCGGUCCCAAAAAUAUUAUACCAACCUUAUGAAAUUUGACUGAACAACAAACAAAUGAUUUUAAUAAUCUGUUUAAAACAACUUUCAACAACGGAUCUCUUGGUUCUC
rnacentral:misc_RNA from 1 species